GAUGAACGCUGGCGGCGUGCCUAAUACAUGCAAGUCGAGCGAACGGACGAGAAGCUUGCUUCUCUGAUGUUAGCGGCGGACGGGUGAGUAACACGUGGAUAACCUACCUAUAAGACUGGGAUAACUUCGGGAAACCGGAGCUAAUACCGGAUAAUAUUUUGAACCGCAUGGUUCAAAAGUGAAAGACGGUCUUGCUGUCACUUAUAGAUGGAUCCGCGCUGCAUUAGCUAGUUGGUAAGGUAACGGCUUACCAAGGCAACGAUGCAUAGCCGACCUGAGAGGGUGAUCGGCCACACUGGAACUGAGACACGGUCCAGACUCCUACGGGAGGCAGCAGUAGGGAAUCUUCCGCAAUGGGCGAAAGCCUGGCGGAGCAACGCCGCGUGAGUGAUGAAGGUCUUCGGAUCGUAAAACUCUGUUAUUAGGGAAGAACAUAUGUGUAAGUAACUGUGCACAUCUUGACGGUACCUAAUCAGAAAGCCACGGCUAACUACGUGCCAGCAGCCGCGGUAAUACGUAGGUGGCAAGCGUUAUCCGGAAUUAUUGGGCGUAAAGCGCGCGUAGGCGGUUUUUUAAGUCUGAUGUGAAAGCCCACGGCUCAACCGUGGAGGGUCAUUGGAAACUGGAAAACUUGAGUGCAGAAGAGGAAAGUGGAAUUCCAUGUGUAGCGGUGAAAUGCGCAGAGAUAUGGAGGAACACCAGUGGCGAAGGCGACUUUCUGGUCUGUAACUGACGCUGAUGUGCGAAAGCGUGGGGAUCAAACAGGAUUAGAUACCCUGGUAGUCCACGCCGUAAACGAUGAGUGCUAAGUGUUAGGGGGUUUCCGCCCCUUAGUGCUGCAGCUAACGCAUUAAGCACUCCGCCUGGGGAGUACGACCGCAAGGUUGAAACUCAAAGGAAUUGACGGGGACCCGCACAAGCGGUGGAGCAUGUGGUUUAAUUCGAAGCAACGCGAAGAACCUUACCAAAUCUUGACAUCCUUUGACAACUCUAGAGAUAGAGCUUUCCCCUUCGGGGGACAAAGUGACAGGUGGUGCAUGGUUGUCGUCAGCUCGUGUCGUGAGAUGUUGGGUUAAGUCCCGCAACGAGCGCAACCCUUAAGCUUAGUUGCCAUCAUUAAGUUGGGCACUCUAAGUUGACUGCCGGUGACAAACCGGAGGAAGGUGGGGAUGACGUCAAAUCAUCAUGCCCCUUAUGAUUUGAGCUACACACGUGCUACAAUGGACAAUACAAAGGGCAGCGAAACCGUGAGGUCAAGCAAAUCCCAUAAAGUUGUUCUCAGUUCGGAUUGUAGUCUGCAACUCGACUACAUGAAGCUGGAAUCGCUAGUAAUCGUAGAUCAGCAUGCUACGGUGAAUACGUUCCCGGGUCU
rnacentral:rRNA from 1 species